AAGUCGUAACAAGGUCUCCUUCCGUAGGCGAUGCCCGGGAAGCCUUAGCAGCCCGAAAGGGUCCGUUCCGCGACUUGGAAUAAACAAUGGCGCCUUAAAUGCUAGUCAGCCUCGCCGCUGGCCACACCGUCAAAUUGCGGGAAGCUCCUAAAGCUCUCAGCUACCAAGCAGUGCCGGGGAAACCCCACUGUGGCCAGGGUAAUGACCUCGGGUAUGGUAACAACGCUGGAGAUGCACCAAUGGAUAAUCCGCAGCCAACUCCUACACCUGGCGCCGGCCAGGCAUGGAGGCUGUCCACAGACUAGAUGGCGGUGGGUGGAUCUCGGUCCGCUUAAGAUAUAGUCGGUCCCCUGGGGAAACCUGGGGGAGAGUCAUCGCUCUCCGUUCCGUAGGUGAACCUGCGGAAGGAUCAUUAGCGAGUUAGGGUCUUCCAGGCCCGACCUCCCAACCCUUUGUUUACAGAACCUCUGUUGCUUCGGCGGACCCGCCCCACGGCCGCCGGAGGACCGCUGCAAGGCGUCCUCUGGCCAGCGUCCGCCGACAGCCAAAUCAAACUCUGAAUGAAUCGUGUCAUAUGUCUAAGUCUAUGAUUNAAUAAAGCAAAACUUUCAACAACGGAUCUCUUGGUUCUGGCAUCGAUGAAGAACGCAGCGAAAUGCGAUAAGUAAUGCGAAUUGCAGAAUUCCAGUGAGUCAUCGAAUCUUUGAACGCACNUUGCGCCNUUUGNAAUCCGAAGGCAUGCCUGUUCGAGCGUCAUUAUCACCCUCAAGCCCGUGCUGNUGUUGACGGCUGUCGAGCGAUCGACCCUCUAAAGACAACGACGGCGGCCUGUNGUNCCNCGGUACACUGAGCUUUUCAUCGAGCGCGUAUCGGACUAAGGGCGCCCGGGACCCGGUCCUCUCCUUUCAUUAGGAAACUUCUCAAGGUUGGCCUCGGAUCAGGUAGGAAUACGCGCUGAACUUAAGCAUAUCAAUAAGCGCAGGAAAAGAAACCAACAGGGAUUGCCUCAGUAACGGCGAGUGAAGCGGCAAUAGCUCAAAUUUGAAAUCUGGCCUCUCGGGGUCCGAGUUGUAAUUUGUAGAGGAUGUUUUGGGUACCGCCCCGGUUUAAAUUUCUUGGAACAGAAUGUCAGAGAGGGUGAGAAUCCCAUCUUGGACCGGCGUAGGGCCUGUGUAAAACUCCUUCGACGAGUCGAGUUGUUUGGGAAUGCAGCUCAAAAUGGGUGGUAAAUUUCAUCUAAAGCUAAAUAUUGGCCAGAGACCGAUAGCGCACAAGUAGAGUGAUCGAAAGAUGAAAAGCACUUUGAAAAGAGAGUUAAACAGUAUGUGAAAUUGUUGAAAGGGAAGCGCUUGCAACCAGACUUGAGCGCGGCGGUUCCCCCAGCCUUCUGGCUGGGCUACUCCGUCGUGUCCAGGCCAACAUUGGUUCGGAGGGUCGGUUAAAGGCUCUGGGAAUGUACCUACCCACGGGUAGACUUAUAGACCAGGGUGUCAUGCGACCUCUCGGGACCGAGGAACGCGCUUCGGCUCAGAUGUUGGCGUAAUGGUUGUCAGCGACC
rnacentral:rRNA from 1 species